UUCCUGUCAUUGAAGUUCUUUUGUUUACUCUUUUUUAAUAAACCAUAAUAAAACGAAGAAUUUUGUGUAUUAUAAACCAAUUGAAGAAAAAGUGAAAUGAACGAGAAAAAAAACGUAAGUUUAUACAUGGCUGCUUUGUUGUACGAGUUUACAAAACUUCAACUGAAUUUGAAGCUAUGGGUUUUAUGGGUGAACAUAAUUGUUUGUAAAAAUGUAUAUGUCUGCAAGUUUUAACCACAUGUAAAAUGUUCCUAAUAUAUCAUAUUUUUUUAAAAAUAUGUAUGUACUUAUAUACAUGAAAUAUUUAUAUGUUGUUGUUGAUUUAAGACACAUUUUUCAAUGGAAUUGUCUGCAAUUCUACACAAGGAGUUCUUUGUGAGUACUUUACCCCCUGAAAUAGAAUUGUCGGUAAGGUCCACAAUAUCGUAUAUCCUCAAUAUAUCGGCAUCUUCCGAUAUUGGGUAUUUUUGUUGAUUUUAACAGAAUUUUUAAUGGACUUUUUUUUGUAAAUUUCCUAAUUCGUUUUAAACGGUGGAGGUUAUUCAAAGUUCGGCCCGGCCGAACUUACUGCUUUUUUACUUAUUUAAAAAUAUGUAUACGCUUAUAUACAUGAAAUGUUUAUAUAAGAUACGAUCUAAAUUUUUUAAUAAAACAGUAUUUAGUUUAAAAAAAGUGUUUUAUUGACAAUUUUGGUUAGAAAAAAAUGCAUAGCGCUUUUUACGCUUUUUUAAGGAAAAUUUUUACGCCAUUUACGCUUUUCUGGUUUUUAAUUACGCUUUUAGCUCUCAAAAUGUUGGCAACACUGGCUACAGUUACAUUUACACGUUGAUUCUUGUGUUAAUAAAGCUAAAACUUUACUAGGCUUCAUCAAGCAUUGGUCCAAAGAGUUUAAUGAUCCUUAUGUAACCAAAAGAUUGUUUGUUAGUCUAGUUCAUCCAGUAUUAGAAUAAGCUUUGCGUGGUUUAAAUUGGAAUCCCUCUGAACUUCUUCCGCCAUACGAGAGCCGUUUAAAGUUGAUUAAGAGCAUUAUUUAUCAUUAAAUUAAUACGAUUAAUUUAUUGAUUCUCCAAGAAGAAAUAAUGAUCUUGAAAUGAGAUCACUUUGUGUAAUUUAUAACAGCUUAGGUAAUUCUAUUUCCUUAAAUAGUCCCUUGAACACAAUAAAAAAUUGUAUUGUACAUAUGUAAUUUA